ensembl:lncRNA
CUUUAUGUUCCGCUAGAAAUCUUUCACUUCCGUGGCUUCUGCCAUAAGAAUUGAGGCUCCCCCCCCCAGCUAUUAGCUGAUUAACGUGCUCUCACAUACCCUAUAGCAGCGACCCCUUAUGCUGAGUGCUUGGCGUGUGCGUGCGUGCGUGUGAGUGUGUGUGUGUGUGCGCUCAACAAAAGCCUUUUCUCUCUUCAUCUCUGUACUCUGGGACCGAGGCCAAGUUGUGAUUGUAAUAAUGUAAUCUCUUCUGAAUACUUGAAGUGAUGGGGAAAAAAAAAGAGAGAUUUUUGAAAAUGAAAUAGAUUAAUCUAUACAGCUAGAGGGGGAAAAUCAUGCAUUUUAAUUAGCUCCUGAGAGUAAUUUUCCUUAAAGUAGUACAAGCCAGGUGUGCAAAAGUAUUCUCCUGCCUUGAGAGUCUAGCUUGCCUUUCUGGAGUCCUUGGAAGAGAUGGUGGCAAGCGACAAGUUCCUUUGGGAUGCUUCUCUUGAAGGGCUUGAACAUAAGGCAACUGGACAGGACCUGAUUUUCUGAGGUGGAGAAAUGUUUGGUUCCCUCACGUAGAUGUUUAUGGGCUGGUUGUACGAGCCUGGUCUUUGCCUCUUUGUGCCAGGAGCGCAGCACAAAUCUCCCACCCUUGCAGGCUCUCCAGCCUCCUCUUCCAGAUCUGCAACCCUCUGCAAAGGACACAGGACUUCAGUGAAAGUGCUGCUUUACCUCACUCUGGAUUUUAUAUCCCAGCUAGCAUGUGAUGAUGAGAUAGAAAAGACUGAGACCUGCCAAAACAAAUCCUCGUUGAAAGCCUGCUUGGAGCUUUAGAAAUGAUUUGAAGAACUUAUCUGAGUUGAAUUAGCUUGCUUAAUCACAGCGACACUUUGGCUGAAGACGUUCCCUCGUCACGGAUGCGCUGCAGGCUGCGUGGUGUAAUUCGGAGACAGGGACUGGAUGAGAACAGCGAGUCCCCGUGUUCGUACCGCCGUCUGAACACCGUCAGCUUGCCAGACUGAUGCGUUUCAUCAAAGUGGACUUCUCUGUCACAAUGUAAUAGCUGACGGCGAGGUGUGAGCCUGUAGCUGCGAGCGUAUUUAGAGGAGAAAGUAAUGCAUUUGCCAUAUGGUAGAAAUCGAUGUCUGGUAAUAGAUGUUUCAUAUAUUCCAAGAACAUCAUUUGCUCCGAAUGAAAAUUCGUACUCUUUAACUCUUUUUUAGCAGGCAGCCUGCUUUUUAAGGCAGGGUCCUGGCUCAUUCUGCUUUGUGCAGGAUGGUUCUGCUUUCCCUGAGGUUUCAGUGCCUCGGCGCUGAGCGCCGCAGCCUUCCUCUGCCUGUGCCCUCCGUGGCCUCACCUUCACGUUGCCCUUCGUCCGUGGGAGCUAAAGGUGGAGAGCGCGGCUUUGCCGCAGGCUCAGAGCACUCCAAGACAGUGCCCAUUUCAUCCAGUGCUUUUUUAGAAGAAGUGGAGGAGAGACAUUACAGCAUUAUUGCAUAACUCACUACUUCAGUGGGUUUGGAGUUCCAUGUCCUGAUGUUUCAUUUCAAAAAACUCUUUAGAAAAAAACCCAAAGCUUUUAGAGUGCCCUGCUCUGUACUGUUCCAAAGAGCCAAGAAGAUGGAACUGGUAUUUAGGUCUCAUCAACCUAGCAGAAAGGGAAGUGCCAUUCUUAAAGUUGUUCAGAAAAAG